AUUGAACGCUGGCGGCAUGCUUUACACAUGCAAGUCGAACGGUAACAGGCCGCAAGGUGCUGACGAGUGGCGAACGGGUGAGUAAUGCAUCGGAGCGUGCCCAGUCGUGGGGGAUAACGCAGCGAAAGCUGCGCUAAUACCGCAUACGAUCUAUGGAUGAAAGCGGGGACCGUAAGGCCUCGCGCGAUUGGAGCGGCCGAUGUCAGAUUAGGUAGUUGGUGAGGUAAAGGCUCACCAAGCCAACGAUCUGUAGCUGGUCUGAGAGGACGACCAGCCACACUGGGACUGAGACACGGCCCAGACUCCUACGGGAGGCAGCAGUGGGGAAUUUUGGACAAUGGGCGCAAGCCUGAUCCAGCAAUGCCGCGUGCAGGAAGAAGGCCUCGGGUUGUAAACUGCUUUUUGUACGGAACGAAACGGCUCUCACUAAUACUGGGGCUAAUGACGGUACCGUAAGAAUAAGCACCGGCUAACUACGUGCCAGCAGCCGCGGUAAUACGUAGGGUGCAAGCGUUAAUCGGAAUUACUGGGCGUAAAGCGUGCGCAGGCGGUUGUGUAAGACAGGCGUGAAAUCCCGGGCUCAACCUGGGAAUUGCGCUUGUGACUGCACAGCUGGAGUGCGGCAGAGGGGAUGGAAUUCCGCGUGUAGCAGUGAAAUGCGUGGAUAUGCGGAGGAACACCGAUGGCGAAGGCAAUCCCCUGGGCCUGCACUGACGCUCAUGCACGAAAGCGUGGGGGAGCAAACAGGA
rnacentral:rRNA from 1 species